rnacentral:rRNA from 1 species
UACGUAGGGGGCGAGCGUUGUCCGGAAUCAUUGGGCGUAAAGAGCGUGUAGGCGGCCAAGCAGGUCCGUUGUGAAAACUGGAGGCUUAACCUCCAGACGUCGACGGAAACCGCGUGGCUAGAGUCCGGAAGAGGAGAGUGGAAUUCCUGGUGUAGCGGUGAAAUGCGCAGAUAUCAGGAAGAACACCAAUGGCGAAGGCAGCUCUCUGGGACGGUACUGACGCUGAGACGCGAAAGCGUGGGGAGCGAACAGG